rnacentral:rRNA from 1 species
AAGAAGGCUCUUGGGUUGUAAACCCCUUUUCUCUGGGAAGAAAGUUGUGAAAGCAACCUGACGGUACCAGAGGAAUCAGCAUCGGCUAACUCCGUGCCAGCAGCCGCGGUAAGACGGAGGGAUGCAAGCGUUAUCCGGAAUGAUUGGGCGUAAAGCGUUCCGCAGGUGGCAGUUCAAGUCUGCUGUCAAAGACCGGGGCUUAACUUCGGAAAGGCAGUGGAAACUGAACAGCUAGAGGUAUGGUAGGGGCAGAGGGAAUUCCUGGUGUAGCGGUGAAAUGCGUAGAGAUCAGGAAGAACAUCGGUGGCGAAGGCGCUCUGGCUGGGACCAUAAACUGGACACGAGGAGGCAACUGAAAAAACAGAAUGUUAGAAAAAAUAACCAAAAACCCAAAGAACUGUCCCUUUGAAAGAGACAGACUCUAAAGCAUUAAAAGGACCCAGAGAAACGGGCCUCCCCUCAUGACUCCACUGGUUAAGACUUCUGCGCUUCCACUGGCACGGGUAUCGUCUACGGGUUUCGACCCCGUGGGCUAGGAGUAACGUUCCACAUACCACCGUAGUGACAAGCCUAAAAAAAAAA